AUACGUAGGGUGCGAGCGUUGUCCGGAAUUACUGGGCGUAAAGAGCUCGUAGGUGGUUUGUCGCGUCGUCUGGGAAAUUCCGGGGCUUAACUCCGGGCGUGCAGGCGAUACGGGCAUAACUUGAGUACUGUAGGGGAGACUGGAAUUCCUGGUGUAGCGGUGAAAUGCGCAGAUAUCAGGAGGAACACCGGUGGCGAAGGCGGGUCUCUGGGCAGUAACUGACGCUGAGGAGCGAAAGCAUGGGUAGCGAACAGGAUUAGAUACCCUGGUAGUCCAUGCCGUAAACGGUGGGCGCUAGGUGUAGGGGUCUUCCACGACUUCUGUGCCGUAGCUAACGCAUUAAGCGCCCCGCCUGGGGAGUACGGCCGCAAGGCUAAAACUCAAAGGAAUUGACGGGG
rnacentral:rRNA from 1 species